GGUCAUCCUCUGUCUGCUUCUCCUUUUCCUUUUCUUUCUUCUUUUUCGACCCCUUUCCUUUUUCCUUCUGCU
rnacentral:ribozyme from 11 species